GUCAUGCGACCACCAUGUGUUGCGUGAGGCAGAGAAGGAUGGAAAACAGAACGGAAAUCGCGAUGGACGGAAUUUGUUUUCGUGUUUCUCACCACACCACUCUCACUCUCACUAAACACACUCCCCCACUGAACGCCUCCCAGGAAUCAUCGCUUUUCAUUGAUAGCUCUGAAGAGGUUUGGCGGCGAAGGAAAGAAAGGAAAACUCCGUCGUCGUCGUCGUCGCUGCACCGAUGCACUCAACGGCAGGUGUGUGUGUGUGUAUGUUUGUUCGACGAGACUGCUGCAUAUCCGCUGCGAUUCCCGCGCAAAAUUGGCGCAAGAUGAUACGGCAUGGCAAGAUCAACGUCAACGUGCACUACCGGUUCUGCCCGGUGUCACCGACAAGUUGCGGCUCCGUCGGAGUCGUUGGUCACGUUGUUGCCUCACGCGAUAUCAUUGCGCAUCGCGUACUGCUGCACCUCGUCCUCCAUUUACGACGGACGGACAGGCGGUCUUCCUUCGGAGCGAGCGACGGAUUGUUGCGUCGUGAGCGUCGGCAGCUCGGCGCACGCUGGCCAAAUUGAUGCUGUGAAGGACGAUAGAUACCGAUUGAUGAUGAUGAUGAUGAUGCGCCAGUGCAGCGAAAUCGCGGUAAAGAUCACUCGUGGUCGCAUCCAGUGCCAGUGCGCUGUCGCAGAGACCUCGACCAUGCCCGGAAGGCCUUCAUUAGCGGCUAUUAAGUGAAGGGAGCAGGGCGUGUAGAAGCGCCUCAUAACGUUCCAUCUCAUUCGGGAAGGACAGCAAACAUCUUAUCGCUCUUCAAUGGUCAUGCCCCAACUAGGCGUGUGAAGACGAUGCUCUAUUGGCCGCAAAGAACACCAUUAUCUCGUUCAGCUGUUUAUGCUUCGGCUUAUCUACUGUUCACAUAUGGAACACAUGCUUCCCAAAACCUUCGCCGAGCAUCUUCGACACCCUAUAGCCGCCACAUGCUGCUCUGGACUCCGCUGGCGCAACGGUAUGCAGAUAAGGAAUGAUUGGCAGCAUGCUUACCGAAAAAGGCACUUUAUCUCGCUAACAAAC